GAUAAACGCUGGCGGCGCACAUAAGACAUGCAAGUCGAACGGAAGUCGUUAUAAAAAGGAUUGAAGAUUUAUCUGAUUGAGAUUUUAUAACAAUGGCUUUAGUGGCGGACUGGUGAGUAACGCGUGAGCAACCUGCCUACUAGAGGGGAAUAACAGUGAGAAAUCAUUGCUAAUACCGCAUAUGCCAUGAACAUCACAUGAUGAAAAUGGGAAAAGAGUAAUCUGCUAGUAGAUGGGCUCGCGUCUGAUUAGAUAGUUAGUGGGGUAACGGCCUACCAAGUCAACGAUCAGUAGCCGGACUGAGAGGUUGAACGGCCACAUUGGGACUGAGAUACGGCCCAGACUCCUACGGGAGGCAGCAGUCGGGAAUAUUGCGCAAUGGAGGAAACUCUGACGCAGUGACGCCGCGUAUAGGAAGAAGGUUUUCGGAUUGUAAACUAUUGUCGUUAGGGAAGAUACAAGACAGUACCUAAGGAGGAAGCUC
rnacentral:rRNA from 1 species